UCUUAUGGAUGAGCAAAAAAAUUUGUUUCUUGAGAUGGAAACUGCUCCUGUUGAAUGUACUAUGAA
rnacentral:pre_miRNA from 1 species